GAGUUUGAUCGUGGCUCAGAUUGAACGCUGGCGGCAUGCCUUACACAUGCAAGUCGAACGGCAGCAUGAUCUAGCUUGCUAGAUUGAUGGCGAGUGGCGAACGGGUGAGUAAUACAUCGGAACGUGCCCUGUAGUGGGGAUAACUAGUCGAAAGAUUAGCUAAUACCGCAUACGACCUGAGGGUGAAAGUGGGGGACCGCAAGGCCUCAUGCUAUAGGAGCGGCCGAUGGUCUGAUUAGCUAGUUGGU
rnacentral:rRNA from 1 species